rnacentral:snoRNA from 1 species
CCCCUCUCAGGGUCGCACCUGGAGAGUUUCCAGUACUCUACCAGUCUCAGCUACGAGAAAGAGAGUCAAGCAGAGGCCUACCCAUUCCACUCCUAGCUUGGGCAGUGGCUAGCGAGUGGAAGGCAAUCUGCUACAAGU